ensembl:lncRNA
CUGACACAAACGGCUCAAUUAGUUCCAAGUGUGAUGAAGGCCCACCUUCCGAAAAAUGAAAUAUGAUGUGACUGGUUAGCUGUCCCAGUGCAUUGUGAUUGGUGAACAGUGAUGUUUUUCAGUACUGCCUCGCCCCUUGCCAUAGCAGCAAUUUCCGUCUGCCAUGGUAUCAAUAUUACCAUAUCAAUUUGAGCCAGUACCUGAGCCUGAGAAUAUUGAACAAGAACCUUUGCAUGCAGGGAUAUUGCAAGACAUAUUAGAGUGGUAACUAGGGUUGGGCCGAUGACAUCGUCCAUCACCGAUGGCUGACAGACAUCACAUUGUUGAGCCGGCAUUGUGAUCUCCCCUCCCCCCUCCUAAUACCAUUUUCAGAAAUAAAAUGACGUGUAGACGGAACCCAAACCCCUAGGGAAUAAAUACGAGAUGGGAGGAAAAUAUAUAUUUCAUCUUUCUCUCGCAGUUAUAUCACUGGGUAAUUAUAUAAAUUGCGCCCAUGGGGGAGCCUUAUAUGCAUGGCACUGAAACUGCUUUUGAGUUCACGAUUGCUUUUUAGUUUCACUUUCACUUUAGAGAUUCACGAUCGCACCUAACGUUACUCUGUUUAUACUGUGGAGCGGCAGUACUUACCACACAUUUGACAAGAUUAGAUGUUUUGUCAGUGGUGUUCAGAAUCUACAAAUCAUUUGCCAUCAUCCUCAGUCAUCUCUCCUACUUUGUAUAUUUGGUGCCCCACAGGUUGAAAACCCCUGGUCUAGAGUGUUUAUGCUACAGAAAACUUUGAUGAGCAACACUACGAUCCGCAAACCAACAGAUGAGGAAGAGGAUGGUGACGCUCCAGCGUAUAAAAUGAGAAAGGUUUGUUUGAAUUUUUAGUUUCCACAUUCUUAUUUGUAUGCAAUUGCAAUAUGCAAAAGUUGUUUUUGUUCCAUAUUACUUAAAUGACGUGAGAGAAGAUGAUUUGUAUGUAUUAAAGAAAUCGUUGUUUUCAGCGAAAUACAAAAGCUAGUUUCAGUUAUUAAGAUGAGAAAUGUACUGCAAUCAUAUUAAUAUGAAUCAGUAUACCUGA